UCAGGAUGAACGCUGGCGGCGUGCUUAACACAUGCAAGUCGAACGAUGAUCCCAGCUUGCUGGGGGAUUAGUGGCGAACGGGUGAGUAACACGUGAGUAACCUNCCCUUAACUNUGGGAUAAGCCUGGGAAACUGGGUCUAAUACCGGAUAUGACUCCUCAUCGCAUGGUGGGGGGUGGAAAGCUUUAUUGUGGUUUUGGAUGGACUCGCGGCCUAUCAGCUUGUUGGUGAGGUAAUGGCUCACCAAGGNGANGACGGGUAGCCGGCCUGAGAGGGUGACCGGCCACACUGGGACUGAGACACGGCCCAGACUCNUACGGGAGGCAGCAGUGGGGAAUAUUGCACAAUGGGCGAAAGCCUGAUGCAGNGACGCCGCGUGAGGGANGACGGCCUUCGGGUUGUAAACCUCUUUCAGUAGGGAANAAGCGAAAGUGACGGUACUGCAGAAGAGC
rnacentral:rRNA from 1 species